UCGAAACCAAAAUACUCCAGUUU
rnacentral:miRNA from 1 species